rnacentral:rRNA from 1 species
UGGGGAAUUUUGGACAAUGGGGGAAACCCUGAUCCAGCCAUCCCGCGUGUGCGAUGAAGGCCUUCGGGUUGUAAAGCACUUUUGGCAGGAAAGAAACGUCGCGGGUUAAUACCCCGCGAAACUGACGGUACCUGCAGAAUAAGCACCGGCUAACUACGUGCCAGCAGCCGCGGUAAUACGUAGGGUGCAAGCGUUAAUCGGAAUUACUGGGCGUAAAGCGUGCGCAGGCGGUUCGGAAAGAAAGAUGUGAAAUCCCAGAGCUUAACUUUGGAACUGCAUUUUUAACUACCGGGCUAGAGUGUGUCAGAGGGAGGUGGAAUUCCGCGUGUAGCAGUGAAAUGCGUAGAUAUGCGGAGGAACACCGAUGGCGAAGGCAGCCUCCUGGGAUAACACUGACGCUCAUGCACGAAAGCGUGGGGAGCAAACAGGAUUAGAUACCCUGGUAGUCCACGCCCUAAACGAUGUCAACUAGCUGUUGGGGCCUUCGGGCCUUGGUAGCGCAGCUAACGCGUGAAGUUGACCGCCCUGGGGGAGUACGGUCGCAAGAUUAAAACUCAAAUGAAUUGACGGGGGUCAUAGCUG